rnacentral:rRNA from 1 species
UGGGGAAUUUUGGACAAUGGGCGCAAGCCUGAUCCAGCCAUGCCGCGUGCGGGAAGAAGGCCUUCGGGUUGUAAACCGCUUUUGUCAGGGAAGAAAUCUUCUGAGUUAAUACCUCGGGAGGAUGACGGUACCUGAAGAAUAAGCACCGGCUAACUACGUGCCAGCAGCCGCGGUAAUACGUAGGGUGCAAGCGUUAAUCGGAAUUACUGGGCGUAAAGCGUGCGUAGGCGGUUUUGUAAGACAGAGGUGAAAUCCCCGGGCUCAACCUGGGAACUGCCUUUGUGACUGCAAGGCUUGAGUGCGGCAGAGGGGGAUGGAAUUCCGCGUGUAGCAGUGAAAUGCGUAGGUAUGCGGAGGAACACCGAUGGCGAAGGCAAUCCCCUGGGCCUGCACUGACGCUCAUGCACGAAAGCGUGGGGAGCAAAACAGGAUUAGAUACCCUGGUAGUCCACGCCCUAAACGAUGUCAACUGGUUGUUGGGAAGGUUCCUUCUCAGUAACGUAGCUAACGCGUGAAGUUG